rnacentral:rRNA from 1 species
AUGGUAAAGAAGAUGCAGGCUGAGAUAAAGCUUCUAUCAGUUAGUGUUGAAGAUAGGGACAUGACAAUCAAGGCUCUGAAAAAGAAGAUGAGAAAGUAUAUGCAGGUCAGGAUGCUAAGCAAGGGCUUCGGUUUGUGUGCAGAUAACAUGUUUCAUUCUGCAAAUCGUCUUAACGAUUUGUGGCGAAUGGUCUGUCUCCGGGUCCGGGGUACUACUCCUAUCGAAGUUGAUGCCAACUGGGCUCUCUACAAUGUCAGCAAUGAAGCUGAAAACCUUCAUCAUAUGUCUCUGAUGGCAACUGACGCAGUGUGGUCCAUUGGUAUCUACCCUUACAGUGCAGAGUCUGACUGUCUCGAUGAAGACGACUGGUGA